GGAGCUUUGAUCUCAGCCCAUGGUUACCUUCUCCGGAGAUUUCUUUCUUCUUCUUACGGAGGAAGCUUCAAUCGUCACUUCCUGCAACAACUAAUAAACACACUGAAUUCUAGAUCUCCGCCUAAUCAAACCCUAGACAUCCCCACAAAAAUCCACAAAUUGCUUGAACAAAACCACUCUGGAUCAUCCCUACCUCGCAAUUUCAGAUCCACACUAUGUCCUGCCUAGCUCUCUCUCUCCAACCCGCCAACGGAUCCGACAUCCUCAUCCAGACCCGGGAGUGGUUCCCGCCUGCACGCGCCCUUGUCGCCACCUCCGCCUUCCGGAAAACUCGCUUAGCAUUUGCCGCCACCAAACAUAACCCUAACAACCCCAACCACCUCUAUUCCGAUGAUUCUGCUGCCGAAUCCAUCGGCGAUGACCCCCUUGCCGCUUCUAGCGGUCAGCUUAUUGUUGGCGUUGAGAGCCGUUACCGUGUCGUUUACCGCCUAGUCAAUGGAAUCUACGUGCUGGGCAUCACCACUGCCGAUCAGGACAAUUCCAUCAACGUAUUUGAGUGCAUCCACAUCGUUAAUCAAUCCGUCAGCGUCAUUGUCACCGCUUGCCGAGGCGUAGAUGUCACACCUGAAAAGCUGAAUCGAAAAUAUGCGGAGAUCUACAUGGCGUUGGAUAUUGUACUGCGUGGUGUGAGUAAUAUUAGACUUGCGGCUAUGCUCGCGUCGAUGCACGGAGAUGGUAUUGCUAAAAUGGUUCACUCUGCUUUAGAUACAGAGAAUAAAAUUCGAGGCGCUGAAACUUGGCCUGCAGUGGAAGUGCACGCUGUUGAGCAUCAGGCCAGCAUAGAUGCAUUUUCGAGUGUAAGAUUUGAGUUGCCAGCGGAGACGAUUGCUGCAGGGGAUGAGGUUGCGGCAAGUCUUGCACCCGUGGCAAGUGAGCAGCAGGAUCAGAAGCCAGAGAAACAGGAGGAACCUGAGGCACCAAAAGAUCCGUUUGCGGCAAGUGAGUCAAUAAACAAGCAGGAAGAUUUGGUGGGUGAAUUUAAGAAGGAUAAGAAUCAGUCCUCAGAUUUAUCAGUUGCAUUGGCGGGGCUGGAAGUGACUACCUUGCCACCUGCAGAGGCAACGCAAGCUACACAUAUAAGCGUGGAGGGAUUUGAAGGGGAUUAUGGUGGCAUUGAGUUCAGCGGCGAGCAGGCUUCUUUGGGAGAAACUUUUGAAGGGUUCAGUGAUGCUUGGGGUGGAGGAUUGGAUGCUUCCGAGUUUGUUGGACCAAAGAAAAUCCCAAAACAACAAGGUCUUGGUGGACUUGAAUUGCUGCAAACUGGGGAUAGUGGUGAUAAGGCUGCUGCAGCAAAGGCUGCAAGUGGAGCAGCAGGUACUCCUCUUGAGAAUCAACUGGUUCAGAAAACCGAAAUGAAAGGUCCUGAAAUGUACAUUGUUGAAGAAAUUAGUGCAGAGUUUAGGGAGUCAUUGCUUGCUAGAGUUGGAUUAAUGGGUGUUGUUUACUUGAGAACAUUGCCGCCAAAAACUGCUGGUGACAAAGAAACUGAGUUUUCAUUUCGGGUUGAUAACACAAGUGCAGUUAAAAGAUUCGUUAUGCAGAGUUCAAAGGUUAGCAGCCUGGGUAAUGGCAUGUUUCAUGUGAGGACUGCACCAUCCGAAGAGCCUUUACCAAUAUUGAAGUAUAGUCUGCUGCCUAGAUUAACCCCAUUGCCAUUGAGAGUUCGUCUCAUACAGCGUCGUAGUGGGACUUUACUUUCGGUGAUGAUUCAGUAUGCUUCAAACCCAGACUUGCAAGUGCCACUUAGUGAUGUAACAUUUAUUUUGAAAUUACCAGUUGACCCAACAUUGCUGAAAGUUUCUCCUAAAGCUGUGUUGAAUAGGGCUGAGAGAGAAUUAAAAUGGCAUGUCCCAGAGAUUCCACUCAAAGAUUCUCCUGGGAAGUUGAGGGCAAGGAUGCCUGUCGAUUCUAGUGAGGGAGAGGGUGAUGAAGAAAUUGAGGCUUUUGGUUAUGUUAAAUUUUCCAUGCAAGGGACUACUUCAUUAUCUGGGGUCUGUCUACGGACUGCUACUGAGGGUAAAACAGACUUUUAUGAGGUUAGUCACAGUUAUCAGAGUGGGGUUUAUACGUGCAAUUGACAAAUAAAAUAACUUGGCUGCUUGGUUACAGAUUGUUGUGCUUCAGUUUCUCUUCUUUCUGUUAAAAUAAGUUUUGUGUUUUCUGUAUGGUUGUAGCAUUCUUUGAUAUUUUGAGUUUGCAACUUAGAUUGAGAUUCAUGUGAAAAUUUAUGGCUUUAUGUUAUUAGCUGGUGAUUUAUGUUAAUGAAUGGUAGAUUUUGUUCCUUAUGUGCCCUUUUUCC
rnacentral:misc_RNA from 1 species